rnacentral:lncRNA from 1 species
AUCGAGAUGGUAUGGGUAUUAGAUGCAUCUUAUAUUGUUGCCAGCAAUUUCUGUUUUCAUUACUGCUAAAUCAGUGAACUUGGAAUCUUAUUGCAGGGACCUACAUAUAAAUUAUUUAUAUUCUUUUUUAAGUUCAUGUCUGAUCCCUUUCUGUCACCUUAUUGCGUUUAACUAUUUAUUGAGUUGGUGAUUACCUUAUAAUGGAAGUGAUAUUGAACUACAGCUUUUGUUUUUUCCCAAGGAAGUGCCUGAGUGCAUAUUUGUGUUUUG